UAAAAAUUAGUUAAAUUAUAACAUAAGCUUGUCAUGCUUAAAUUAUCUAAUAAAGAUAUUUUUAA
rnacentral:tRNA from 1 species